UCCAAAAGAAUGAAAARGUACGAGUGGAUAUCAUAGURCAGGAUGAUGCUAGAGGAAUUCCCAAAUGGAUAACGAUAACACCUCCAGCUUUGUCGAAAGGUUAUCGUUUAACUUCACCAGUGCAAGAACGGAUUGAAAUAUCAAAGCAACAGAGCAGUGAUUCUGAAGAUGAACACUCAACACUACAUCAG